UGGGGAAUUUUGGACAAUGGACGAAAGUCUGAUCCAGCGACGCCGCGUGGAGGAUGAAGGUUUUCGGAUUGUAAACUCCUUUUACAGGGGACGAACACCCGCAAGGGUUUGACAGUACUCUGUGAAUAAGCCACGGCUAACUACGUGCCAGCAGCCGCGGUAAUACGUAGGUGGCGAGCGUUACUCGGAAUUACUAGGCGUAAAGCGCGUGUAGGCGGGAGCUUAAGUCAGUCGUGAAAGCUCAGGGCUCAACCCUGAAAUGUCGACUGAAACUGGGCUUCUUGAGUGCGGUAGAGGAGAUCGGAAUUCCAGGUGUAGCGGUGAAAUGCGUAGAUAUCUGGAAGAACGCCAAAGGCGAAGGCAGAUCUCUGGGCCGUUACUGACGCUGAGACGCGAAAGCUAGGGGAGCAAACAGG
rnacentral:rRNA from 1 species